rnacentral:tRNA from 1 species
GCUACCAUAGCUCAGUUGGUAGAGCAACAGAUUCGUAACCUGUAGGUCGGCGGUUCGGUUCCGCCUGGUAGCUCCA